rnacentral:rRNA from 1 species
UACGUAGGGUGCGAGCGUUGUCCGGAAUUAUUGGGCGUAAAGAGCUCGUAGGCGGUGUGUCACGUCGGCCGUGAAAACCUGCAGCUUAACUGUGGGCGUGCGGUCGAUACGGGCAUCACUGGAGUUCGGCAGGGGAGACUGGAAUUCCUGGUGUAGCGGUGAAGUGCGCAGAUAUCAGGAGGAACACCGGUGGCGAAGGCGGGUCUCUGGGCCGAUACCGACGCUGAGGAGCGAAAGCGUGGGGAGCGAACAGG